rnacentral:rRNA from 1 species
UACGUAGGUGGCGAGCGUUGUCCGGAUUUACUGGGCGUAAAGAGCGCGCAGGCGGUCGGCCAAGUCGAGUGUGAAAGCCCCCGGCUCAACUGGGGAGGGUCACUUGAUACUGGUCGACUCGAAGGCGGGAGAGGGAAGUGGAAUUCCCGGUGUAGUGGUGAAAUGCGUAGAUAUCGGGAGGAACACCAGUGGCGAAGGCGACUUCCUGGCCUGUUCUUGACGCUGAGGCGCGAAAGCUAGGGUAGCAAACGGG